AGCGGUAGGCGACGGCGCUGAUGCAGCUGUGCGCCCGGGGCACCACGGCCGAGCGGGAGCUCAACGCACCCGCCCCGCACCCCGCGCUCAGCCGGGGAGCGCGGCUGGACAUCGUGCUGGGGGGCCGGACGGACCGAGGGACGUCGACAGGGAAGGACCGAAGCUGGGAGCCGGACACGGAGACACACACGCACACGGAGGCAGCAGGAAUCCACGCUCACGAUUGACGGAGUCCAACUGGAAGGAUUAAGGUGACUGACACCCAAUCUGGGAAAGCUUCCUGAAGGAGGGUCCAGCAUCCCUCCGCUUCCGUUCCUGUUGCCGAGUUCCAUGGCUCGGAAACCGGCGCCUGUGUUCCCGAGGACUCCGGAGGGAAUGUAACUCCUCUGGAGCCAAUGAGGAGGGUCAGGAGUCCCCCACCGAGAGAAAUGCUCAAGGAUUGGCUGAAUUGAGGGAAACUGUUGCAAAAUGGCGCAUGUAACAUCAUCCCAUUUCCCUUGGUGCCCAGAGUCACGACGGUGUGAUGUCACGUGCAUCUUCUUGCCGGGAGUCUGCUAGGUCAGUGCAGUGGUCGCCUUCCUAUCAUUGCUCACUGAAUCCAAACCAAAUGGUGACUACUCCUUGACAUCAUCACUGAGGGACGCUUACUGGGCCUCCCAGUUCUCGCCACUGUUUAUGACAUCACUAAGUAAUUGCCCCUCCCUGAUCCCUUCAGUCGUUGCCCACUCCUUCUAAUAAUUACAUCUUCUUAGCAGACUGGUCCCUGCUCCACUGUGACACCGUAACUGAGGGACUUCUCCCAGACCCAUUGGGACAUCAUCUUGGAGGGACAAUAUAUGUAACAGGGUUUGAUGAGAACCUAAAUGGCUUGCCCAAGGUCACACAGAAGAUUAGUGGUGGAGGUGGGAUUAGAAUCGAGAAGCAGG